rnacentral:rRNA from 1 species
AACGUAGGAGGCAAGCGUUAUCCGGAGUUACUGGGCGUAAAGCGUGCGUAGGCGGGUUGGUAAGUGGGUGGUGAAAGCGCUCGGCUAAACCGGGCGAGUGCCAUCCAGACUGCCAGUCUAGAGGCGGAUAGAGGGGUGCGGAAUUCCGGGUGUAGCGGUGAAAUGUGUAGAGAUCCGGAGGAACACCAGUGGUGCAAACGGCGCCCUGGGUCCGAACUGACGCUGAUGCACGAAAGCGUGGGGAGCGAACGGG